rnacentral:lncRNA from 1 species
GUGGAAGCAAUCGCACUUUGCGGGCAAGCUCUGAGCCUGCUCCUUCUUGGUUGCUCUGUCUUUGAAGGCAGCUUUGGAGCCUGCUGAAGGAUUUGCUGACAUUUUGGCUGUUUCAUUGCCAGAGGAGGCUUUGUGUGUCCCAAAGGAAGUGAGUGAUCUGGCCAUAACAAAUCCUGCCAAAAUAUUUUAACACCGUUACGAUUUCCUAAUGCAAUGCGUAGUGAAUGUGACUAGGAAAGGAUGGUGAGUCCGUGACGGGGAUUUGUUCCCUCUCGCGUGCAGUUGCCCGGYAGAACGAGCACCGAUGAGCCCUGG